UAAACCGGGAUUAGAUACCCCGUUAUACGAGGAAAUAUACUAAGGGGGGUAGUACCGGUUACGGCCCCCAAACCCAAAGAACUUGGCGGCAACUCACCCUUCUAGAGGAGCCUGCCCCGUAACCGACACCACCCGUUAACUUCGACCUCCAGUAUGUCUGUAUACCGCCGUCUAACCCCUAGCUACAAAGGUGGGGUGUAAAGGUUUCCAUCAAAGACAGGUCGAGGUGCAGCGGAUCUGGAGGAGGAGGUGGGCUACAAUCCUUAUGGGGCAGACCCUCCUCUACCGGGGAGGGAUAAGAUGGAUUUAGCAGUACCCGAGGGUUAACACCCUUUGGAGAAUUGGACCUGGGUUGUGUACAUAUCGCCCGUCACUCUCAACAAACUUGAGAU
rnacentral:rRNA from 1 species